AUUGAACGCUGGCGGCUUGCCUUACACAUGCAAGUCGAACGGCAGCACGGGAGCAAUCCUGGUGGCGAGUGGCGAACGGGUGAGUAAAGUAUCGGAACGUGCCCAGUCGUGGGGGAUAACGUAGCGAAAGUUACGCUAAUACCGCAUACGAUCUAUGGAUGAAAGCGGGGGAUCGCAAGACCUCGCGCGAUUGGAGCGGCCGAUAUCAGAUUAGGUAGUUGGUGGGGUAAAGGCUCACCAAGCCGACGAUCUGUAGCUGGUCUGAGAGGACGACCAGCCACACUGGGACUGAGACACGGCCCAGACUCCUACGGGAGGCAGCAGUGGGGAAUUUUGGACAAUGGGCGAAAGCCUGAUCCAGCCAUGCCGCGUGCAGGAUGAAGGCCUUCGGGUUGUAAACUGCUUUUGUACGGAACGAAAAGGUUUGGCCUAAUAAGCUGAGCUCAUGACGGUACCGUAAGAAUAAGCACCGGCUAACUCUGUGCCAGCCGCCGCGGUAA
rnacentral:rRNA from 1 species